rnacentral:lncRNA from 1 species
GUACAACUUAUUUCAUGUUAUAUUUUUUAAAACAAUAUAUACCAAGACUCAAUUUCACGUCAUUUUAUUUCUUUACAUCAACCCAACGUGAUACAUACUUUUAUUUCAAGAAGGAAAAAUGAUAUUAUUGUCAUGUAUUAUUUAUAUCAAACAUGUAUAUCAUGUAUAAUUAUAACUUUAUACAAGAUCAAUAUUUAUAUAUGACCAAAACUUUCCUAUAGCAUAAAAUAAAUUAUGACACAAAAUCACAAACAAUAUUUCAAU